rnacentral:sRNA from 1 species
AUUUUGCGUUAGUGAUAGUAGCGACAUCCUUUUUGUGUUGAUGCACAAAAAGAUACAGCGUAUAGCAAGACGUUUU